rnacentral:rRNA from 1 species
UACGGGGGGGGCAAGCGUUGUUCGGAAUUACUGGGCGUAAAGGGCUCGUAGGUGGCCAACUAAGUCGGACGUGAAAUCCCUCGGCUUAACCGGGGAACUGCGUCUGAUACUGGUUGGCUUGAGUGCAGGAGAGGAACGCGGAAUUCCAGGUGUAGCGGUGAAAUGCGUAGAUAUCUGGAGGAACACCGGUGGCGAAGGCGGCGUUCUGGACUGCAGCUGACACUGAGGAACGAAAGCCAGGGGAGCAAACGGG